rnacentral:misc_RNA from 1 species
AAAGGGAUUUCUGAAAUUAGAGGACUCUCAUCAUACAAUAAUUUCACAGGAAGAACUUUGUCCCUAAAGAUCCUAGCAUUCUCCUCUAGCCAAAUGCACCAAAUUAUAGUAAACUUGCACUCAUAGUCUCUUUCCUCUUUUCCUCUUUAAAAUCCCCAAAAUUUGCUGUCAAAAACUUAUCAGAAGUCAAAACUUGAACAUUCAUUCAUCUUUGACCCAUCUGACAAUCCUAUUCUCACCAUGACUUCAACUUGAAGCCCAAUAGCUCCUCCUUGCUCAGACACUGUUCAUUUUAAUUUCUCAUUUUAUUUUCACUCUCAUUCCUACUCAUGACAACACCUUACCUAGUUACACAUUUUUUCCAAAGCUAUUUCAUUAACAGCUUUAAUAAUUCCUGAACAUUCUGUGUACUAUUUUAGAAUCCAAAUUUAUCCUUUUCCAUAUUUUCCUUUAAUUUUUUUUAACUAAGACAAUAAAGUUUCCACAUUACUAUGCCUGGUUUUCAAUUUUAGUAGUAUAUAGUUUCAUUUUCCAUCACUCUUUAUCUGUACAUUGCCCUUAAAGUAUGCAUCAUAUGCACAACAAAUGGAGAAAAGUAAUAAAAUAGAUGCCACAUUUUGCAAAUAGGGAGUUGUGGCAUUCAAAAGCUUGUGUACAAAAAGGUUUGAUCAAAAUGAAAUUAUGGCAGGAUACAGGGUAAGCAGAAACCCAUCAAUAAGAUAAUAAAUU